rnacentral:rRNA from 1 species
CGCCGGGGUGAAUACGUUCCCGGGCCUUGUACACACCGCCCGUCAAGCCAUGGAAGCUGGGUGUACCUAAAGUCGAUAACCGUAAGGAGUCGCCUAGGGUAAAACUAGUAACUGGGGCU